AGUUAACGCUGGCGGCGUGCCUAACACAUGCAAGUCGAGCGGAGCAGUACCGGAGUAUUGGGCUGCUUAGCGGCAGACGGGUGAGUAACACGUAAACAACCUACCCUUAAAGGGGAGACAACCGGGCGAAAGUCUGGCUAAUAUCCCAUAAAAUCACUGGAAGGCAUCUUUUGGUGAUGAAAGCCGAAAGGCGAUUAAGGAGGGGUUUGCGGCCUAUCAGCUAGUUGGUGAUGUAACGGACCACCAAGGCGAUGACGGGUAGCCGAUCUAAAAGGAUGAACGGCCACAAGGGCACUGAGAUACGGGCCCUACUCCUACGGGAGGCAGCAGUGGGGAAUUUUGGACAAUGGACGCAAGUCUGAUCCAGCGACGCCGCGUGAAGGACGAAGGUUUUCGGAUUGUAAACUUCUUUUGCAGGGGGCGAAAGCCAGCAAUGGUUUGACAGUACUCUGCGAAUAAGCCACGGCUAACUACGUG
rnacentral:rRNA from 2 species